rnacentral:rRNA from 1 species
CCCUUAGAUGUCCGGGGCCGCACGCGCGCUACACUGAAGGAAUCAGCGUGGCUUUCUCCCUGACCCGAAAGGGUUGGGAAACCCGUUGAAUGUCCUUCGUGAUAGGGAUUGGGGCUUGAAAUUGUUCCCCAUGAACGAGGAAUUCCCAGUAAGCGCGAGUCAUAAGCUCGCGUUGAUUACGUCCCUGCCCUUUGUACACACCGCCCGUCGCUACUACCGAUUGAACGGUUUAGUGAGGGCCUCGGAUUGGUCUCGGCCCGCUCUUUACCGGGCGGCGCCGUUGGUCGAGAAGACGCUCGAACUUGAUCGUUUAGAGGAAGUAAAAGUCGUAACA